rnacentral:rRNA from 1 species
UACGGAGGGUGCGAGCGUUAAUCGGAAUUACUGGGCGUAAAGCGCUCGUAGGUAGUAUGUCAAGUCAAGGGUGAAAUCCCCGCGCUCAACGUGGGAACUGCCUUUGAAACUGUCAAACUAGAGUGUGUGAGAGGAUAGUGGAAUUCCAGGUGUAGGAGUGAAAUCCGUAGAUAUCUGGAGGAACAUCAGUGGCGAAGGCGACUAUCUGGCACAUAACUGACACUGAGGAGCGAAAGCGUGGGUAGCAAACAGG